GUCUCCGUAGCUCAGUUGGUAGAGCAGCCGCCUCUUAAGCGGCGGGUCGAUGGUUCGAGUCCAUCCGGGGACACCG
rnacentral:tRNA from 1 species